ensembl:lncRNA
AUGUAUGACUUAAAAUAUAAAAACUGGUUCAAACCGGUUUCUAUCUUAUAUUUUACAUUCGGUCAUUAUUUUACAUUCACCAUUGUUGCAUUGCUAACGUGGCUAGAAGAGCUUAGUGAGAUAGCCAACAACUCACAAAAAAAAAAAAAUUGUGUUGCAAUUCCCGAACAAUCAUCAACAUGCCUAAAAGAAAGAGUGCUACCAAGGGAGAUGAGCCUGCAAGACGUUCAGCACGUUUGUCAUCUAGACCUGCGCCAAAGCCGGCGGCCAAACCCAAAAAAGCGGCAGCACCCAAAAAGCCAGUCAAAGGAAAGAAGGCAGCGGAGAACGGUGAUGCCAAGGCUGAGGUCUGAAAUAAGUCCAUUUCCCUCCCAUUUCUAGGCGAAGGUUGAAGCCGCCGGAGACGCCAAAUGAAGAACUGUUUGAAGUUGUGAUCAUUCUGUGUACUUGGUGACUGUACAGUUUAAAAUAAGUAUUUUUUACCAAGUUUUUUUUAUAUUAAAAGAUAUCAUUUAUAGUUCAUUGUGGGCUUACAUUUGACGUAAUGAAGCUGUUCCAAGGGGUUGUCACGUUCAUAUCCAUUUUUUAUGCCUUGUUGAAUACCGUCCAUAUGAAUACCGUCCAUAUCCUGUCCAAGUUUUAAAAAACCACACAAAAAAACUUCUAACCCUGUUUUUUUUACUGCUGAAUGUUAUUUUCCAACAUAAAUCUAAACAUUAAAGGCAGCUAAAGUGUGUUUCUAAAAUGUUUAAGAGGAAUAGGGUUUUUGCCACUCCUUUUAGUUUUUUAUUGUACAAGUAAUAUGAAUUAAUUACAUACCAAAUGUUUUGAAUCAACAUCAGAUCUUCUCAUUCAGGAGACAAAAGACACCGUUUGAAAGUAAUCACUAACUUGUAUUAGGUCAACACACAAAAUUAAUAAUGUGAACGUAAUCAUUUGUUCUAUUGUUUAUUUUAUUAAAUUGUUCUGUAAAAACAGUGGAAAGAGCUAUUGUGACGCCUAUGAAAUUUUAAAUGUUCUUGAAUAAAAUGAUAAAAAGGCUAUUUUUGCUUAAUUUAGACAUCAAUAUAACAUAGCAAAUCAUUAUUCAGCAGUUUGUGUACAAAUCCACACGUUUUCUAGAUCUGAUACUUUCCUAUUGGGCAGGGACAUCAACCUCUUCCUCUCAUGGGGAACCCGCUCUUCUUCCUUUAAGAAAAAUACAUAGAUAUAAUCCAUCCACUUGGAUUACAAUAUUGAGGCCUAACCAAUCCAUCCCUUUGAUGUCCAUAAAGGUAGUGCAUGGUUUAUGGGUUAUACAGUGCAUUAGGAAAGUAUUUCAGGCCACUUGACUUUUUACGGCCUUAUUCUAAAAUGGAGGACAAGUAUAUUAGUGUCUAGUUUGAGAAACAGACAAGUCCUCAAGGAGCAGCUCCAUUAAAUAGUACCUGCAAAACGCCAGUCUCAAUGUCAACAGUGAAGAGGUGACUCCAGGAUGCUGGCCUUCUAGGCAGAGUUGCAAAGGAAAAAGCAAUAUCUCAGACUGGCCAAUAAUACAGGAACUCUGUCUAGAAAGCCAGCAUCCCGGAGUCGCCUCUUGACUGUUGAUGUUGAGACAUGUUUUGGGGGUACUAUUUAAUGAAGCUGCCAGUUGGAAGACUUGUGAGGCGUCUCUGUUUCUCAAACUAGACACUCCAAUGUACUUGUCCUCUUGCUCAGUUGUGCAUCGGGGCCUCUCGCUCCUCUUUCUAUUCUGGUUAGGGCCAGUUUGCACUGUUCUUUGAAGGGAGUAGUACACAGCGUUGUACAAGAUCUUCAGUUUCUUGGCAAUUUCUCGCAUGGAAUAGCCUUCAUUUCUCAGAACAAGAAUAAACUGAUGAGUUUCAGAAGAAAGUUAUUUGUUUUUGGCCAAUUUUCAAACCCACAAAUGCUGAUGCUCCAGACACUCAACUAGUCUAAAGAAUGCCAGUUUGAUUGCUUCUUUAAUCAGUACAACAGUUUUCAGCUAUGCUAGCAUAAUUGCAAAAGGGUUUUCUAAUGAUCAAUUAGCCUUUUAAAAGGAUAACCGUGGAUUAGCUAACACAACGUGCCAUUGGAACACAGGAGUGAUGAUUGCUGAUAAUGGGCCUCUGUACGACUAGAUAUUCCAUUAAAAAUCAGAUGAUUCCAGCUACAAUAGUUAUUUACAACAUUAACAAUGUCUACUCUUUCUGAUCAAUUUGAUGUUAUUUUAAUUGACAGAAAAAUUUGUUUUUCUUUUAAAAAAACAAGGACAUUUCUAAGUGACCCCAAACUUUUGAAUGGUAGUGUAAGUCUUCAGACCCUUUACUCAGUACUUUGUUGAAGUACCUUAGCAGUUAUUACAGCCUAGAGUCUUCUUGGGUAUGACGCUACAAGCUUGGCACACCUGUAUUUGGGGAGAUUCUUCUGCCGACCCUCUCAAGCUCUAUCAGGUUGGAUGGGGAGUGUUGCUGCACAGCUAUUUUCAGGUCUCUCCGGAGAUGUUCGAUCGGGUUCAUGUUCGGCCUUUGGCUGGGCCACUCAAUGACUCUUCGCCACAGUCUGAGGUCCUGAGCACUCUGGAGCAGGUUUUCAUCAAGGAUCUCUGUACUUUUCUCCGUUCAUCUUUCCCUCGAUCCUGACUGGGUCUCCCAGUCCCUGCCGCUAAAAAACAUCCCCACAGCGUGAUGCUGCCAAAACCAUGAUGGUGCCAGGUUUCCUCCAGACGUGGCAUUUGUCAUUCAGGCCAAAGAUUUCACUCUUGGUUUCAUCAGCCCAGAUAAUCUUGUUUAUCAUGGUCUGAGAGUCCUUUAGGUGCCUUUUGGCAAACUCAAAGCAGGCUGUCAUGUGCCUUCCCUCUGGCCACUGUCAUAAAGGCCUGGUUGGUGGAGUGCUGCAGAGAUGCAUACGUUCCCGAAUGCACUAGAAUCUGACUAGAUUUCAAUUUGACAUGAGACAUCAGUGUGAUCUCUUUUAGCCUCCAAUAGAGGGCAGUGUCUGACCAGAAUUAAGGGACUUUAGUCAGUGGCUUCCCUGACCACUAGAUGGCUUUCUUAUCUCCAGCACUUUAGAAUUGACAGAAGGAGAGACCUGUUAGUGUUUUCAAUUUACAUACAUUGUACUUAGAGUUAAUAUACAUCCAACCAUUUGCAUCCCAAACUUUGCAACAUCAGCAUGGCUAGGCUCUAACACAUUUUGGUAAAUUAGAAGGAUAGCCUCCCCAAACCAAUGUGGGAAUUAGGAAAAAUAGCCGAAGCAAGUGGCUAUAUCUUUUCAACCAAAUAGGAGAGUGUAUGAUCUGCCUCUCCCUACAGUGGGAUGUCACACACAGACACAACACUCGCCCCACUGGCAAAAAUAUGUAAACCUGUGAGUGUCGCUAUCCACAACACAAGCCUAUACAGUACAAACCUGAGUCAGUGGAGGACUGUACAAACAGUCAGCAAAGAAGCAAAACAUUGAAACGUGGCCUUGACGCUGUCUAUACGAGGGGUUGGCCUGUGUGUCAUGUAUCAAAAUGAACAGAUGAGGAUUUCACACUCCACUGUCAUUCUGUUAAGGGAUAGUGAAGGUGCUCUCUAUCGCGCAGGUCUCACACAUUGGACUGGUGUGCCCUUUUCAAAUACUGUAGGCCUAUUGGAAUUCCCAAUAGUCAGGAGGCACUUAAUGGACAAGAAACGGGAAUUAACAUGAAAACAAUGUGAAAGCAGACUUUUCAACUGAAAAGAAACAUCCACUGUAAAUAUGUUAUGAAAAAAAACACUAGCCAGACAUCACAAGCGAUGGUAGUCCAUCUCCACCCUGCAAACCUCAUCCGCUGAGUUCAUGUGACGAGCAUGAAGGGUGAGGGGAUGGCAUCCUCAAAGACAAACGUUAAGCUAUACACAUAGGCCUACUAACAGUUAUUUGAGGGUGACUACCCAAAUGGGACUAGCUGGGAAGAGGAGGGAGUGGGAAAGUUUCUCACAAGGAGAACAAAUUAUGGGGAGGGGAAAGCAACCUAAGAGGAAGGUGGGGGGUUCUGAGAGUUCUGCUAUUUGUUCUAGGAUAGUGAUGACAAGAGGAAUGGAUAUGAACAUUACAAAUGUAUUUAGGUCUAUUUAAGCAAUAAGGCAUGAGGGGUUGUGGUAUAUGGUCAAUAUACCACAGCUAAGGGCUGUUCUUAUGCACAACGCAAUGUGGAGUGCCUGGAUACCACCCUUAGCCGUGGUAUCCAGAUUGCUAUUAUAAACUGGUUACCAACGUAAAAAUAGCAGUAAAAAUAAAUGUUUUGUCAUACCAGUGGUAUACAGUCUGAUAUACCAUGGCUGUCAGCCAAUCAGCACCCAGUUUAUAAUAAUGUAUAGCUUCUGUCUUCCAUCACCAUGGCAUUAGACAAGGGGCCAAAAGUGUGACACCAAUCAGGCUCCCGAGAACUGGAGUUGCCCAGCCCUGUUCAACUACAUACAACUAGCCUACGCAGCAGAGCACUAAACUAACCAUUUGUGUGCUAAAUGUCUGUCUGCUGCUCGUUGGGCCAAUAACCUAUCUUCAGUCAACGAAAGCAAUACUCCAACAACAGUCAAUCAAUUAUGUAGCCUAUAAACCGAAAUAAAACGCAACCACAUCGACCAAACGCGGUCUGUUUCUGUUUCAUUAGGGCUACAACAUACAUUUCAUGUAUAGGACAAACUUAUUAAUUACCAAUAAAGAAACAUUCUUUCUCUGACUAGAAAUACGUGUUAUCGAUCACACUAGGCGGGCUGAGCACAUUCUAUUCAGAGGAGUCUGUGUGACUUGUAUGCACACUUAAAUGUCUUGUGCACUCAUGGCUCAGAUUUCCCCACCCACCUCAUGUAUAUAGGCUGGCCUGGCUUCCUAUAUAGCUUGAUACGUGACCAUCGUGUGCUUGUACUCCCUCGUUUGAGCACAUUUCAACCAGCUCAAUCCGAGCACAGUUGCAGGUCAGUUCAAUCUACAACUUUUUAAAUGACACUUUUGCGCGAAAAUUAGUUUGUGUCCACAAUUGAUUUCCAACUGUUUGUAAUUGGUUGACUCAAUUAUUAAUUAACUAACAAUGGAAAUGAGCACGUACUGGAGGGGUAGAAAAAUUGUUGAAUUGUGU